UACGGAGGGGGCUAGCGUUGUUCGGAAUGACUGGGCGUAAAGCGCGUGUAGGCGGCUUGGUAAGUCCGUUCUGAAAGCCCGGGGCUCAACCCCGGGAGGCGGAUGGAUACUGUCAAGCUCGAGUCCGGAAGAGGCGAGUGGAAUUCCAGGUGUAGCGGUGAAAUGCGCAGAUAUCUGGAGGAACACCAAUGGCGAAGGCAGCUCGCUGGGACGGUACUGACGCUGAGACGCGAAAGCGUGGGGAGCAAACAGG
rnacentral:rRNA from 1 species